AGUCGUAACAAGGUUUCCUUUAUGUAAGUCAGGAACAUGAUUCUUCUGUUGGUAUACUUAUAGAAGCCUUAGUAUCCCAGCAAUGGGAGGUCACGCGACAAUAAAUAAAGUGGCUGUUUACUAGUUGACGUCAAGUCGGCAACACAACUGGACUGUUUGGGAAUACUUGUGCGCACUUCACUUGUGCGCUAUGAGCAACCCACAGCGAAUACCUCAGGGGCCCCUCAACUGCCCUAGGGGGAACGUUCACAGACUAAGUGGUUGUGGGUAGAGCAUUUGUGCCCUAUUUGAGAUAUAGUCGGGCCUGAUGGUACUCCAUCAGCUUUGUUGCAAGCCAUUAUCCACGUGUCUCGGAUAUUGACGCAGCUAGGAAUACACUGUUCCGUAGGUGAACCUGCGGAAGGAUCAUUACAGAGAACAUGCCCCUUGGGGUAUAUCUCCCACCCUUUGUUUACAAUACCUGUUGCUUCGGCGGGCCCCGUCUUUUGACUGCUGGCUUUUAGCUGGCCAGAGCCCGCCAGAGGACCUCAAAAACUCUCUAUUAUGUUGUCUGAGUACCAUACAAAUAGUUAAAACUUUCAACAACGGAUCUCUUGGUUCUGGCAUCGAUGAAGAACGCAGCGAAAUGCGAUAAGUAAUGUGAAUUGCAGAAUUCAGUGAAUCAUCGAAUCUUUGAACGCACAUUGCACCCUCUGNANUCCGGGGGGUAUGCCUGUUCGAGCGUCAUUUCAACCCUCAAGCACUGCUUGGUGUUGGAUGCCAUCACUUGUGGUGGCAUCCCAAAAGCAUUGGCGGCAGCGUCCAGCUUCUAGCGUAGUAAUCUCUCGCUCUGGAGUGUGGACGCCUAGCUGCCAAAACCCUCUUUUUCAAAAGGUUGACCUCGGAUCAGGUAGGGAUACCCGCUGAACUUAAGCAUAUCAAUAAGCGGAGGAAAAGAAACCAACAGGGAUUGCCUCAGUAACGGCGAGUGAAGCAGCAACGGCUCAAAUUUGAAAUCUGGCCUUCCGGUCCGAGUUGUAAUUUGUAGAGGAUGCUUCGAGCGUGGUCUGGUCUAAGUUCCUUGGAACAGGACGUCACAGAGGGUGAGAAUCCCGUAUGCGACUGGGUGCCUAAGCUCAUGUGAAGCUCCUUCGACGAGUCGAGUUGUUUGGGAAUGCAGCUCAAAAUGGGUGGUAAAUUUCAUCUAAAGCUAAAUACUGGCCAGAGACCGAUAGCGCACAAGUAGAGUGAUCGAAAGAUGAAAAGCACUUUGGAAAGAGAGUUAAACAGUACGUGAAAUUGUUGAAAGGGAAGCGCUUGCAACUAGACUUGCAUGCAGUUGAUCAUCCGAUGUUUUCACCGGUUCACUCAACUGCAUUCAGGCCAGCAUUGGUUCUGGUGGUUGGAUAAAGGCUGGGGGAAUGUAGCUUCUCUCGGGGAGUGUUAUAGCCCCUGGUGCAAUGCAGCCUACCGGGACCGAGGACCGCGCUUCGGCUAGGAUGCUGGCGUAAUAGUUGUAAGCGACC
rnacentral:rRNA from 1 species